AAUGGAUUCGCUAGUAUGGCGAGUGACCGGGAAAGCUCAAAUUUGAAAUCUGGCUGUCUUCGAUAGUCCGAGUUGUAAUCUAUAGAAGCGUUUUCCGUGCUGAACUGUGUCUAAGUCCCUUGGAACAGGGUAUCAAAGAGGGUGAUAAUCCCGUACUUGACACAACAAUCAGUGCUCUGUGAUACGUUCUCUACGAGUCGAGUGUUUGGGAAUU
rnacentral:rRNA from 1 species